UAUCAAAUCUGCCAGACGUAGAAAUUUUUGCCGGUCUGCUGUCCUCAACAGGUUCUAUUCCAGUUUUCUUUGAUCCAAGAAAAGAGAAGAAUCUUGAUGCAUGCGCUGCAUGUACUUUUUCUGUGAUUCCAUAUAAUCUAAUACACUCAUUCAUCCUUUUCCUUUCUCCAUCUUUUCAGGUUUCGAGAAUGCCAAAUAUCUGCUAUGUUAUUCGUCCCAAGUAGUUAUCAGAAUUUAGAACCAGAUGCCCUAGGAUUAUAAGACUGCUUGCUAUAUCUUAUUACUCUCACAAAUUUUAUUUUGCAUGUUUGUAGGUAGAUAUUUCACACGCAAGUGUUGAGGCAGCAUAUUCUUAACAA
rnacentral:lncRNA from 1 species